UACGGAGGGUGCAAGCGUUAUCCGGAUUCACUGGGUUUAAAGGGUGCGUAGGUGGGUUGGUAAGUCAGUGGUGAAAUCUCCGAGCUUAACUUGGAAACUGCCAUUGAUACUAUCAGUCUUGAAUAUUGUGGAGGUCAGCGGAAUAUGUCAUGUAGCGGUGAAAUGCUUAGAUAUGACAUAGAACACCAAUUGCGAAGGCAGCUCGCUACACGAAUAUUGACUCUGAGGCACGAAAGCGUGGGGAGCAAACAGG
rnacentral:rRNA from 1 species